rnacentral:rRNA from 1 species
AGGAUGAACGCUGGCGGUCUGCUUAACACAUGCAAGUCGAACGGAGUAGAAAUACUUAGUGGCGGACGGGUGAGUAACGCGUGAGAAUCUACCUUCAGGACGGAGACAACAGUUGGAAACGACUGCUAACCCCCGAUGUACUGAAAAGGCAAAUAUUUAUAGCCUGAAGAAGAGCUCGCGUCCGAUUAGCUAGUUGGAGAGGUAAAAGCUCACCAAGGCGACGAUCGGUAGCUGGUCUGAGAGGACGAUCAGCCACACUGGGACUGAGACACGGCCCAGACUCCUACGGGAGGCAGCAGUGGGGAAUUUUCCGCAAUGGGCGAAAGCCUGACGGAGCAAGACCGCGUGGGGGAAGAAGGCUCUUGGGUUGUAAACCCCUUUUCUCUGGGAAGAACGCAAUGACGGUACCAGAGGAAUCAGCAUCGGCUAACUCCGUGCCAGCAGCCGC